GAAAAUGAUUGUAUCGUUGUCUGCUAAAAAUAAAAUUGGCUUUGUUGAUGGUACAUGUCCCAGACUAGACACUAAUGUGGCUGAACAAAAGUUAUGGGAUAGAUGUAAUAAUAUGGUGAUAUCCUAUUUGACUGCUUCCUUAUCACCUCAAAUAGCUAAAAGUGUGCAGUAUUCUGAUACUGCACAUAGCAUAUGGGCACAGCUCGCAGCUAGAUAUAGUACUGCUAACCGAACC
rnacentral:lncRNA from 1 species